UAGCCUAGUGAUUAAGGCUUUGGAUCGCUAAUCCGGAGACGGCGGGUUCGAUUCCCGU
rnacentral:tRNA from 1 species